CGUAGGUGGCGAGCGUUGUCCGGAAUUACUGGGUGUAAAGGGCGUGUAGGCGGGACUGUAAGUCAGAUGUGAAAUUCCAGGGCUUAACUCUGGAGCUGCAUCUGAAACUAUGGUUCUUGAGUGCUGGAGAGGAAAGCGGAAUUCCUAGUGUAGCGGUGAAAUGCGUAGAUAUUAGGAGGAACACCAGUGGCGAAGGCGGCUUUCUGGACAGUAACUGACGCUGAGGCGCGAAAGCGUGGGGAGCAAACAGGAUUAGAUACCCUGGUAGUCCACGCUGUAAACGAUGGAUACUAGGUGUAGGAGGUAUCGACCCCUUCUGUGCCGCAGUUAACACAAUAAGUAUCCCACCUGGGGAGUACGGCCGCAAGGUUG
rnacentral:rRNA from 1 species